AGUGAACGCUGGCGGUAGGCCUAACACAUGCAAGUCGAACGGCAGCACAGUAAGAGCUUGCUCUUACGGGUGGCGAGUGGCGGACGGGUGAGGAAUACAUCGGAAUCUACUUUUUCGUGGGGGAUAACGUAGGGAAACUUACGCUAAUACCGCAUACGACCUACGGGUGAAAGCAGGGGAUCUUCGGACCUUGCGCGAUUGAUUGAGCCGAUGUCGGAUUUGCUAGUUGGCGGGGUAAAGGCCCACCAUGGCGACGAUCCGUAGCUGGACUGAGAGGAUGAUCGGCCACACUGGAGCUGAGACACGGUCCAGACUCCUACGGGAGGCAGCAGUGGGGAAUAUGGGACAAUGGGCGGAAGCCUGAUCCAGCCAUACCGCGUGGGUGAAGAAGGCCUUCGGGUUGUAAAGCCCUUUUGUUGGGAAAGAAAAGCAGCAGGUUAAUACCCCGCUGUUCUGACGGUACCCAAAGAAUAAGCACCGGCUAACUUCGUG
rnacentral:rRNA from 1 species